GACGAACGCGGCGGCGUGCCUAAUACAUGCAAGUAGAACGCUGAAGGAGGAGCUUGCUUCUCUGGAUGAGUUGCGAACGGGUGAGUAACGCGUAGGUAACCUGCCUGGUAGCGGGGGAUAACUAUUGGAAACGAUAGCUAAUACCGCAUAAGAGUAGAUGUUGCAUGACAUUUGCUUAAAAGGUGCAAUUGCAUCACUACCAGAUGGACCUGCGUUGUAUUAGCUAGUUGGUGGGGUAACGGCUCACCAAGGCGACGAUACAUAGCCGACCUGAGAGGGUGAUCGGCCACACUGGGACUGAGACACGGCCCAGACUCCUACGGGAGGCAGCAGUAGGGAAUCUUCGGCAAUGGACGGAAGUCUGACCGAGCAACGCCGCGUGAGUGAAGAAGGUUUUCGGAUCGUAAAGCUCUGUUGUAAGAGAAGAAACGAAGUGUGAGAAGU
rnacentral:rRNA from 1 species